rnacentral:rRNA from 1 species
AACAGGGAUUAGAUACCCUGGUAGUACACGCCGUAAAACGAUGAGUGCUAAAGUGUUAGGGGGUUUCCGCCCCUUAGUGCUGCAGCUAACGCAUUAAGCACUCCGCCUGGGGAGUACGGCCGCAAGGCUGAAACUCAAAGGAAUUGACGGGGGCCCGCACAAGCGGUGGAGCAUGUGGUUUAAUUCGAAGCAACGCGAAGAACCUUACCAGGUCUUGACAUCCCGCUGACCGCCUUAGAGAUAAGGCUUUCCCUUCGGGGACAGCGGUGACAGGUGGUGCAUGGUUGUCGUCAGCUCGUGUCGUGAGAUGUUGGGUUAAGUCCCGCAACGAGCGCAACCCUUGAUCUUAGUUGCCAGCAUUCAGUUGGGCACUCUAAGGUGACUGCCGGUGACAAACCGGAGGAAGGUGGGGAUGACGUCAAAUCAUCAUGCCCCUUAUGACCUGGGCUACACACGUGCUACAAUGGACGGUACAAAGGGCAGCCAACCCGCGAGGGGGAGCCAAUCCCAGAAAACCGUUCUCAGUUCGGAUUGCAGGCUGCAACUCGCCUGCAUGAAGCCGGAAUCGCUAGUAAUCGUGGAUCAGCAUGCCACGGUGAAUACGUUCCCGGGCCUUGUACACACCGCCCGUCACACCACGAGAGUUUGUAACACCCGAAGUCGGUGAGGUAACCCUUGUGGAGCCAGCCGCCGAAGGUGGGACAGAUGAUUGGGGUGAAGUCGUAACAAGGUAACC